GUGUUGCUAAAUGGGUGGAUGAUAUCAUUUGGCACGACAAGAGUGUUUUGCAUGUAUUGUGUGUGAAUGUGUGCGUUAAGGAAGCCCUGUUCUAAUUCUAAGGGCCCACAGCAGCCUCCCCAAAAUAGAGCCGAGAGCAGCUGCAGCCGGGCGGGUCGUAUCAGAGAGGCAUCAAAGCCGCUGCCGCCACCCGCCCCCUCUGAUCAUAAGCACUAAUGGUGUAAUGGGGGACUGGAAGGCGGGCUUGGUGUUCUGCCCUUAGUGUCACAGCUCAGAUAACUCCGCGUCCAUUUUGAAGCCUCGGAUUUCAGCAGUCAUCGCUUUUCCUGCAUGAAAGAACUCCAGGCAGGAUCAGGGCAAAGUCACAUUCUGAACCUGACCGUGACUACAAUUUAUGGCCCUGCAAAAUGUCUCUGUCAUGUCCAAUCAGCACCUGCUCUCACUCAUCACAACCAGAGGGGACAGACGGGGAGGUUAACUUUUUGAGCACAUGCGCCCCCUAAAGGAUGGACAGGUCAAUACUCUGUAGUCAGAAGAUAUUUGACUAGUCAUCUGAGCUCUUAUUAAAAUUAAA